UCCUCCACUGCUCCUGCUUCCUCCUUGCUGCCCCCCAUCCUGCUGCUCCCUCCCCCAGUGUUUGUGCAUGAACAGGCGUGUGUGACUCUUUCUUUCUGCUCACUGCCAGCCCUAUAAAAUCCAUCUGGAAAGAGGCAGUCAAAAGGCCAUUUUUCUGGAGCACAGGACAGGAAAUUCUGCCUUUGGGCUGCUGCUGUUGAUAAUGUGUGAGCAGAUCAAAAUCUUGUCUCUUGCCCAGAUCUGUGCGUGCUUGGCUGAUCCAUUAAGACAGAAUCCACACAGCACUAAACAGGGCUCCAGACCAUGGCAGAAAACACUAGGAAGAAAGGUGAUGGAGAGAAAAUGGUUUGAGGAAUUGAUAGUUUUCUUACACAAAACUCAUCAGGAGGCAUUUUUGGUCUGGAAGUGCAGCAGGAAGAACAUUCAGACACCUGUGAGAAGGCAGCGAGCUGUCAGGCAGCUCUCUGGACAUCUGGUUGACCUGUGUGUGCAACCUGAGCUGGCCCUGGUUAUUGGACCUGAACAGUGGUGUCACAGUGUGCAUGGCAGGACAGACAGCGACCCUGAGUCAUGUUUCUGGGCAUCAUUUUCCUAUGGACCUGCAGUCCCUAGCUUGGCUUUAACCUUUUGGAUAAAUGAAGAGAAGCAGGUUUUUGACUGAGAGCAGCCCAACAUUGAACCAGUAGAGAGACUGCUCACAAGGAAGAUCUGUAGGCAGAGUAUGGCAAAGUCCUGUGGUAUCUAAUAUCCUUUCAAAAAGACCCUGUCCAAAAUGAAAUCAAUCUUGUGUAUUUUUCAGCAAAGAAUAUGCUUAUAAUGUUAAAAGACAUAAACCAAAGUAUGGCUUUUU